AAAGAAUCCUCCAGGUGUGAAGUUUGAUGUCAGUCAGCUUCAGAGAAAUGACACCAGCUGAGGAUCUGCAAGCAAGUCUCAGGGACCUUAAUAAUGGGACAUCACAGCCUGUUCUAGUCAGUGAGACCAUCCAGUUCAUCCUGUUGAGUUUCAUCCUGGUGGCUUUAGAGACUUUCACACCCAUCUGAAGGACAAACCCCAAGCUUCUGGAUGCUGCUCAGCCAGGACAAACCCCAAAACAUGGCUUCCCUCAUCACCACAGCGUUGACACAGCCCCAGCUCACCUCUCACUCUGCUCCUGUCUGAAAUUCCACUGGAAGAGCAGCCCUGCCUGCUUGGGAAGCACAUGAGACAAACUCGGUAUCCGAUGUCGCACCUGGGAUACAUCAGACUCCUCAAGAACAUCUGCAGACCACAAGGAGGAUUCAAGAGGAUGUGGAGGAGGCCCUCAAACAACCCCAUCUCACCAAGGGGGACCUUUCAACGUGGUCACCUCAGGCCAGAGGCACCAGCCAGGACUGAGUUCACCAGCCAGUGGGAAUUUCAGGGGGUGGUGCCAUGGCUUUUGUGGUGGAAGCCAUCCCGAGCCAUGGGCUGUCUGCACAGGCA